rnacentral:rRNA from 1 species
UACGUAGGGUGCAAGCGUUGUCCGGAUUUAUUGGGCGUAAAGAGCGUGUAGGCGGCCAUGCAGGUCCGUUGUGAAAACUGGAGGCUUAACCUCCAGACGCCGGUGGAAACCGUGUGGCUAGAGUCCGGAAGAGGAGAGUGGAAUUCCUGGUGUAGCGGUGAAAUGCGCAGAUAUCAGGAGGAACACCGGUGGCGAAGGCGGUUCUCUGGGCCUGUACUGACGCUGAGGAACGAAAGCGUGGGGAGCGAACAGG